ACUUUAGAAUUUAGCCACAUCAUUUUUGGAAGUUGGCAAGUUGGUCAUUGAUGUGAAUCACCGCCUUUCUCCUCCAAUUCCAAUAUCCAUCACCUCAUCCGAACAUUCUCCAUCUUCAUUUUUUUGGCAUGAGGUCGUCGACGAAUAUGAACGGUGAUUAGAGGUACCGUUUGUUAUCGACAUCAUGACAUCACCUGCUCUUCGAGACUGUCCCUGUUAAGUCGAAGCAAGUCGCUUGGGGUAGUUCCAUGCACCGUAUGUGCGUUUUCUCCUCUCUUGACGACUUAUGGAGGCUUCGUUUGUAUUCCGGUUGCCUUGGAGAGGGAUACAUCGAUUUCUAGGGUUUCUGCAGAUCUGAAUCCUGUUCUCCGGUGAACUAACAAAAUUGUUCCACCAUCUUCUACACCGUACCCUAAGGAAGCAGGAUGGGCUGAUGGUUGUCAGAUUGUUGCUUGCACUCAAUCAAGAUAGUUGGCGGUGCAUGUACUUAUUAUCAAUGUCCUUUUUGGUUAAUGCUCACUGUUAUCAUAUAAUGCCUUUUUAAUGCAUUUACUUUACCUUCGUUUUCACUAAAUUUGCACUAAAACUGCGUCUAACGGCAAGUUUGAAUGAUUACCAGAAAGAAUGGGAGUCAAACUUGGAGAAGAAGUUGGUAUACUAUUCAAUUUGAAGAUGUCACAAAUUCAGUGAAAGUUUAUCUAAAGCUCAAUAAAUGAUACAAUUUGUGCAAUUAUCCUUGGUCUAAACAAAAGAAAUUACAGACUGAGAAACACGACCUUCUUUAGAUGAGGCGUGUAGCAACAUAUAUUUACAAGAAGGCUGGUAGAUAGAACCAUUCAAUUACAUUGUCUAAGAAAGACAAGCUUUACAAGGAUGCCAUGGAGAUAGCCUCACAAUCCAGUAACUGUCAGUUAGCAGAAGAAUUGCUCCUUUAUUUCAUCGCUCAGGUACAAACCUAUUAGUUGCGGUUUAUGUUGAAUAUGAUGGUAUUUGUGAGGGCCAAUUGGUGAACUCAGUGUGUUAUAAUAAUAUAAUUGAGGUUAUGCAUCAUUACAGGGAAAAAAUUAAUGUUUUUCUUCGUGUCUGUUUAUUUGUUAUGAUCUAAUCCAUCCAAAUUUUGCUCUUGAGUUGGCCUGGUUGAGCAAUAUGAUCGACAUUACUCUCCCAUAUCUGCUUCAGGUAAAUUUGUUAUGGUGGGUAAAUACCAUUUACUCUCUAAGAAUGAUGAUUGAACUCUUUAUAUAUAAAUUGUUAAAUGACACUUCUGAAGUUAUUACAGCUCAUUAUAGCUUUCUUUUAAAUGACACUUCUACAACUCAUUAUAACUUCCUUUUAAUUUUUAGGAAAUGAAGUUAUUAUAGGUUUCUUCCUUAUAUUUCUUAAUUUACAAUAAUUACAUUUUUGGUCUCUCUAGUUGUUAAUUUAAAAAUGAAUGAAUUACACUAUUGAUACCUCUCUUUUUUGUAUUAAUUAAAGUUUUGUCCCUGUAAAUUUUAGUGACACAUUGAAUGCGCUUCUGUAGUUGAAUUUUUCAGGUUGGAUUGCCCCUGGACUCAAAGAAACUGUAUGAUUCCCCAGAUUGCGAAUAAAAAAGCUUUUUAUAUUCUUAGAUAUAUCCACAAUGUUGUCAUUUAUUAUCAUUACAUUUGUCUUUUUUUUAGCCUCUUUUUGUGCCAUAUGAUCACAAAAAUAUGACGUUAGCCGGAUUACAUUCACAGAAAAUGAGAUUCAUGCUUCAAACA